rnacentral:rRNA from 1 species
CUACGGGGUGCUGCAGUGGGGAAUAUUGGACAAUGGGGGAAACCCUGAUCCAGCAAUGCCGCGUGUGUGAAGAAGGCAUGCGGGUUGUAAAGCACUUUCGGUUGGGAGGACUGCUUCUAGCACUAAUAUUGUUGGAAGUUGACGUUACCUUCAGAAGAAGCACCGGCUACCUCCGUGCCAGCAGCCGCGGUAAUACGGAGGGUGUAAGCGUUAGUCGGAAUUACUGGGCGUAAAGCGCGCGUAGGCGGCUAGAUCAGUCGGGUGUGAAAGCCCCGGACUUAACCUGGGAACUGCAUCCGAUACUGGCUAGCUUGAGUACAGGAGAGGAGAGUGGAAUUCCACAUGUAGCGGUGAAAUGCGUAGAUAUGUGGAGGAACACCAAUGGCGAAGGCAGCUCUCUGGCCUGAUACUGACGCUGAGGUGCGAAAGCGUGGGGAGCAAACAGGAUUAGAUACCCCGGUAGUC